rnacentral:lncRNA from 1 species
GAGGCAGGGUUUACUGAUGGGCUUUCCUUCAGGGUUCCCUUGGCUUGAAGAGCUGCCUGGAUAAAAUGCUGUCUCUUGAAAACCUCAAUGAGAAAACAGCUUAUCCUGAAGGUGAACAUCCUGACACAAAUGAUUUUAAGUAAGCAUUAGCAGAAUGCUUCAUCACACUGGAAAAAUUGUCAACAGGGAUUAAGUUUCCUCCAAGCUUUUUGAGAGCUGAAGAUUUUGGUAAGACUUCUAACCUUUUGGUUGUUUCUAUACUUCAUAUUACCUGUUU